AAAGAUUAAGCCAUGCAUGUCUAAGUAUAAGCAACCUAUACAGUGUAACUGCGAAUGGCUCAUUAAAUCAGUUAUCGUUUAUUUGAUAGUACCUUACUACUUGGAUAACCGUGGUAAUUCUAGAGCUAAUACAUGCUAAAAACCCCGACCUCUGGAAGGGGUGUAUUUAUUAGAUAAAAAACCAAUGCCUUCGGGCUCCUUGGUGAUUCAUGAUAACUUUACGAAUCGCAUGGCCUUGUGCCGGCGAUGGUUCAUUCAAAUUUCUGCCCUAUCAACUUUCGAUGGUAGGAUAGUGGCCUACCAUGGUUU
rnacentral:rRNA from 1 species